CGCAGCCGCGGUAAUUCCAGCUCCAAUAGCGUAUAUUAAAGUUGUUGCAGUUAAAAAGCUCGUAGUUGAAUUUCGGGGUCAGUAGAUUGGUCGUGCCACUGGUACGUACUGGCCUCACUGAUUCCUCCUUCCUGAUGAGCCGUAAUGCCAUUAAUUUGGUGUUGCGAGGAAUCUGGACUGUUACCUUGAAAAAUUAGAGUGUUUAAAGCAGGCUAACGCUUGAAUACAUUAGCAUGGAAUAAUGAAAUAGGACGUUUGAUCUUAUUUUGUUGGUUUCUAAGAUUGACGUAAUGAUUAAUAGGGAUAGUUGGGGGCAUUAGUAUUCAAUUAUCAGAGGUGAAAUUCUUGGAUUUAUUGAAGACUAACUACCGCGAAAGCAUUUGCCAAGGAUGUUUCCAUUAAUCAAGAACGAAAGUUAGGGGAUCGAAGACGAUCAGAUACCGUCGUAGUCUUAACCAUAAACUAUGCCGACUAGGGAUCGGAUGAUGUUAAUUUUUAAUGACUCA
rnacentral:rRNA from 1 species